rnacentral:lncRNA from 1 species
GAGGAAGGUAGGGUUUGUUCUAACGCUUUGCACAAAGGCGGGAAACGGUCAUCAAAGCUGUUGCGAAGGGAAGAGCCAAUGCAUUAAUUCGAUCCAAGAGGACUCGCCUCGUUGGAUUUGCAGCAACCUAAUCUCUCGCUCAGGAAGAAAACGCCACGAUAAAGAGUUUUCUGUCCUCCUUGUUUGCACGGAGCAGCAAACGCAGAGACAAAAGAAACGGGCCCCGACUGGGCCAGGCACCAUGGCUCAUGCUUGUAAUCCCCACACUUUGGGAGGCCAAGGCAGGAGGAUCGCUUGAG